UUCCUUCGGGAGGCAGCAGUGGGGAAUUUUGCGCAAUGGGGGAAACCCUGACGCAGCAACGCCGCGUGAGUGAUGAAGGCCCUUGGGUCGUAAAGCUCUGACAGAGGGAAAGAAAUGUACGGUGGCUAAUAUCCACUGAUACUUGACGGUACCCUCAAAGGAAGCACCCGGCUAACUCCGUGCCAGCAGCCGCGGUAAUACGGAGGGUGCGAGCGUUGUUCGGAUUUAUUGGGCGUAAAGCGCGUGUAGGCGGUUUGGUAAGUCUGAUGUGAAAGCCCCGGGCUCAACCUGGGAAGUGCAUUGGAUACUGUCAGACUUGAAUACGGGAGAGGGAAGUGGAAUUCCGAGUGUAGGAGUGAAAUCCGUAGAUAUUCGGAGGAACCCGGU
rnacentral:rRNA from 1 species